rnacentral:rRNA from 1 species
CAACUUUUAACAACGGAUCUCUUGGCUCUCGCAUCGAUGAAGAACGCAGC